ensembl:lncRNA
AAAAUGAAUGCAAUCAGAAUGUCUCAGAGCUACAACAAUAGUCUGCAGGAAGGAAAUAUAAUACAAAAGGGACUUUGGCUGGAAUAGGAUUUACAUUCACCAAUAGGACUGCACCAAAGAACAGCACCUGAUAAACAAAUAUACCAUUUGGAGGAUCGUUUACUGUCAGAAGAGUGAAACUUGCCAGAGAGAAGUUUCCUUGAUGGCAGGAAAGAAAUUUAAUCCCGGAAGGAGCGCAUUUCUGUCUCUGGUUGAGCAGGCAGAAGGGUGGCAGAGGAGAGUGUCAACUUAGUGCAUUCUACUGCCCCAGAGGAGACAAGAUUGGAGAAAGAGGAAAUUUGUAUUUUGUGGAUCGGGUGGACCAACUAGUAAUAUACUAUGACAAGUGCAAACUCUCACCUAAAGGAUGGCUAAUAAAUUCGGCCAGAAAACCUCUUGCUGUUGAUGGCAUUUCUAAAAUCUGAAAACAGAACUGACUCUGGAAUGUCAGAGAAUUAUUAAAGUUCAUGCAUGCAGAGUGGUGACAUCAUUCACUCAAGAUAACCAGGCACAAGAACACUGUGACACCCAUUGGACAGUAUAUAAGUAGAGAUCAAGGGCAAUGCUCUGCUAUGCUCAUCUGGAGAGACACCACCUUGAUCUGCCUAUGGCUGGAGCAUCUGCCCCAGAAUCCUGACCCUCAAAUCAGAGCCUUCUGUUAGAGAAUGGGCCUAACCUUCAGCUAAGAUAUGUCACACAGGCAUUAGUGUGUCUCUGUGUGGAUAUGUACACAUGCAUGUGAGUGUACCCUUGGAGGCCAGAGAGAACAUUGGAGCUGGAGUUCCAGGUGGUUUGUGAUCCACCUGAUGUGGUUGCUAAGAACCAAACUUGGGGCCUCUAUAAGGACAGCAAGUUCUUCACCACUGAGCUAUCUCUCCAGCCUCAUAGUUUCUUUUCAUAGUUUGGCUUCCGCCUAACUCCAUUGGUUUCUAUGUAUUUAUGAUUUCUUUCCAGUUUGGUCUUCUACCUCUGGUCUCCAGUGUAUAAUACAGAUGACUGAUUCUUGUGUCAAAUACUGUGCUUGGAAGUGGUGAUUAAAAGAUGAACAGAAAUAACUUCUUUAGAGAAUAAAAUCUAAUGGAAGGAAAGGUGAAAGCAGUUUCAAUGAAUGAGGUUCAGGCCAUGCCAUCCCAUAAUAUAGUAUCAUGGCCUUUGGAAAAUCAGCAGGUCUCUCUGACUCCCACUUUGUCUUGUCUUCCUGUCUUGAAUCAUGGGAUAUAACCAAGAAAGAAUUUUUUGACCUUUCCUUAUUUUCAUCAUAAGAUCCUAUGUGAGAGAUAUUCACCUUCCAGUUAGAAGAAAGGAAUGCGGUAUACCUAAAGACAGGAGAACUUAGACACAAAUGUGAGCAUGGAGGUUUAGUUUGUAGGUGGUUCCCUACCCGAGGUCAUCCUGUGUACUACAUAUCCCACUUCACCCUUACUAUCUGCUCCCCUGAGGAAACUUAGCAUGGAAUAUGCAGGUUGUCCUGUUUCAAUGAGUCUUAACUCCCAGAAUUUCCUGUACAUUAUAAAACUCAUUUGAGAUGAAUUUGCAUGUGUUUUUUUUUUCCCCGGAGGAGAAAAUAGGGUGGCUUUAGCCAUGAACUUAACAAUGAGUAGGAAAAAACAAUUCUUUGUUCUCCUACACAAUCUCUUGUGGUGAACACAGCAUUGUGUCUAAGAAGGCACCUGAUUCAACCUCAUACAAAAUUUUUAUUGAGGGAAAAAUACCCUAGCUGAACUUGGAAAGAGAUACUAUUUAUAAUAUGAACAAUACUAAGCUUAGUAAGAAAAUACUACCAUUGUCUUUCUGUUUUAUUUUUCUCAACAAAAAUAUAAAACAAUAACCUCUUUUCCCCUUCAUCAUCUUUCUCUGAUCUAGUAUUUUGUCUUCAUUUUCCUGAGACCUUCAGCACUGAGAAAAUGUUGAAAAUCUUGGGACAGUGACCUACAUUCCUGAGUGGUCCAUGGGAAUUUUUUUCAAGGGCUUCUUGAAGACCAAUGUCUGUACCUGUAUAGUCUAAACAGUGCAACUCAGAGUCUUUCCUACCAUCACUCAGGGUUAUGUGAUUCUAUAUUAUCCCAAAUAUAAGUGAAUUUAAACCUACAAAUUAGCAUUUGUUAAUACUGUUUUCUUCAACAAAUAAAAAUGAUAAUGUG